ensembl:lncRNA
GUGUCAGGAGGUGGAGCCAUGGUGUCUGGAGGAGAGACCGUGGUCGUGAAGACAAGCCGAGUGGAGAGCUCCUCAUCAUCAGGUGGCACAAUGGUUUCAGGAGGUGGAGCCAUGAUGUCAGGAGGUGGAGCCAUGAUUUCAGGAGGUGGGGCCCAAAUGAUGUCAGGAGGCGGAGCCAUGAUGUCUGGAGGCGGAGCCAUGGUGUCAGGAGGUGGAGCCAUGGUGUCUGGAGGAGAGACCGUGGUCGUAAAGACAAGCCGAGUGGAGAGCUCCUCAUCAUCAGGUGGCACAAUGGUUUCAGGAGGUGGAGCCAUGAUGUCAGGAGGUGGAGCCAUGAUUUCAGGAGGUGGCGCCCAAAUGAUGUCAGGAGGUGGAGGCAUGAUGUCAGGAGGUAUGAUGUCAUCGGAGACUGUCCAAAUAUCAUCAGGUGGCUCAUUGGUGUCAGGUGGUGGGGCAGGAAUGAUGUCAGGAGGUGAAGGCAUGAUGUCCAGUGGCGGUUCCAUGAUAUCUGGUGGCAUGAUGUCAUCAGGUGGCACCAUGAUGUCAGGAGGUGGAGCCCAAAUGAUGUCAGGAGGUGGAGCCCAAAUGAUGUCAGGAGGUGGAGGCAUGAUGUCCAGUGGCAUGUCUUUAGACGGUUCCAUGAUAUCUGGUGGCAUGGUGUCAUGUGGUGGCUCUGAAAUGAUGUCAUCAGGUGGAGCCAUGUCAGGCGGCAUGAUGUCAUCAGGUGGCUCCAUGAUGUCAGGAGGUGGAGCCAUGAUGUCAGGAGGUGGCUCUGAAAUGAUGUCAUCAGGUGGAGCCAUGAUGUCAGGAGGUGGAGGCAUGGUGUCAUGUGGUGGCUCUGAAAUGAUGUCAUCAGGUGGAGCCAUGAUUUCAGGAGGUGGGGCCCAAAUGAUGUCAGGAGGUGGAGGCCAAAUGAUGUCAUCAGGUGGAGCCAUGUCAGGCGGCAUGAUGUCAUCAGGUGGCUCCAUGAUGUCAGGAGGUGGAGCCAUGAUGUCAGGAGGUGGCUCUGAAAUGAUGUCAUCAGGUGGAGCCAUGAUGUCAGGAGGUGGGGCCCAAAUGAUGUCAGGAGGUGGAGGCCAAAUGAUGUCAUCAGGUGGAGCCAUGUCAGGCGGCAUGAUGUCAUCAGGUGGCUCCAUGAUGUCAGGAGGUGGAGCCAUGAUGUCAGGAGGUGGCUCCGAAAUGAUGUCAUCAGGUGGAGCCAUGAUUUCAGGAGGUGGAGCCAUGAUGUCAGGAGGUGGGGCCCAAAUGAUGUCAGGAGGUGGAGGCCAAAUGAUGUCAUCAGGUGGAGCCAUGGCAGGCGGCAUGAUGUCAUCAGGUGGCACCAUGAUGUCAGGGGGAGAAACGAUGUCCAUGUCUGGUGGCUCAAUGUCAUCCUCCACCAGCUUCUCCUCUUAGAAGG